UACGUAGGGUGCAAGCGUUAAUCGGAAUUACUGGGCGUAAAGCGUGCGCAGGCGGCUUUGCAAGACAGAUGUGAAAUCCCCCGGGCUUAACCUGGGAACUGCAUUUGUGACUGCAUGGCUGGAGUGCGGCAGAGGGGGAUGGAAUUCCGCGUGUAGCAGUGAAAUGCGUAGAUAUGCGGAGGAACACCAAUGGCGAAGGCAAUCUCCUGGACCUGCACUGACGCUCAUGCACGAAAGCGUGGGGAGCAAACAGG
rnacentral:rRNA from 1 species